GGAGGGAGUUGCCAUGGAAACGGGGGACAACACCAACUGACAAACCAUAAAUCUCUGGCUGCGUCCGAAAUCGCAUACUACUUGUGAGUGAUAAUAUAAUCUCUCUACAACAGAAGAGAAGCUCCAAAAUUGCAAAGUUUCUGAAGGGAGCUGCUGACAGAAAUGCAGGAAACACAGAUUCUCCUAUGGUGAUGGCCGUGCAGCAGAGUUGGAGCAGACCUCGUGUCUGACAACAUCUCUAAGGCGCUAUGAACCAUAUGACUAGAUCCUAUGUACCCAGCCUCAAUCAUUCAUCAAAAGGACUGUGGAAGCGGGAACUCUUUGAACCACCAGUGGCAGUUUCCACGGGAUGAAAAAGGGCAUACUAGUGGAUGAUGGGGGUACUGACAUUAACCUACUGUAUUCACUGUAUAACACACUAGGGAUGGGCAUUUUUGUCAGUUUUUCAUUUCAAGUACUGGUGGUUUUGAUUUUGUCUGGAUGGCAUGCUGUCCUAACACUAACUAGUCAGAGCUCAGGUACCACCCAAACUGCUGCCAUAACCAGUCAGAAAAAGAGAAAUAUAUAAAGUCAGGUGAUCAUCGAGUACUCAGACUUGACAGCGAUGAUUGAGCAUGAAAACGAUGAACUUUUAAAAAUGAUCAAUGAUUGCUGUCAAGUCUGAGUACUCUAGUA